rnacentral:tRNA from 1 species
GCCUGCUUGCGCUGGUUGAGCCGGGUGCCGGUGGGGACGACGAGGUGCACCCGGUCGCCGGGUGACGCGGCGUGCGGGACGCCGUGCAGGUAC